GUAGGUAAGGGUUUGCCUGCAAUUCGUAGUCUGCACCUGCAGGCAACAUCUCUACUGUGCUGGGAUUUACUUGGAGGCUUUCUCCAGUGAUACCAGCAGCUCAGUAACGAGUUCACAGGUCAAAUAGAGGUGGCCCUCUAAGGGUUAAGAUAUGAUCGAAAAGAGGCUUUUGCAAGCCGUUUGGACUUGGAACCUGCGGAAGGAUCAUUACAGAGAACUUUGCCCUUUGGGGUAGAUCUCCCACCCUUUG
rnacentral:misc_RNA from 1 species